GGCACUUUGGCGGAGUGGUUAACGCGCUGGCCUGCUAUCCUACAUGCGUAGUAAGCAGCUCUUCUAUGGAUAUUAGAUAGCCAGUUCCCUCGGGAGCGAGUGUUCGAAUCACUCAGGUGUCG
rfam:Rachicladosporium sp. CCFEE 5018 unplaced genomic scaffold Supercontig_7, whole genome shotgun sequence.